rnacentral:rRNA from 1 species
GCAGUCGAGCGAUUUACUUCGGUAAAGAGCGGCGGACGGGUGAGUAACGCCUGUGUAACCUGCCCUGUACACACGGAUAACAUACCGAAAGGUAUGCUAAUACGAGAUAAAAUACUUUUAUCGCAUGGUAGAAGUAUCAAAGCUUUUGCGGUACAGGAUGGACCCGCGUCUGAUUAGCUAGUUGGUAAGGUAACGGCUUACCAAGGCGACGAUCAGUAGCCGACCUGAGAGGGUGAUCGGCCACAUUGGAACUGAGACACGGUCCAAACUCCUACGGGAGGCAGCAGUGGGGAAUAUUGCACAAUGGGCGAAAGCCUGAUGCAGCAACGCCGCGUGAGCGAUGAAGGCCUUCGGGUCGUAAAGCUCUGUCCUCAAGGAAGAUAAUGACGGUACUUGAGGAGGAAGCCCCGGCUAACUACGUGCCAGCAGCCGCGGUAAUACGUAGGGGGCUAGCGUUAUCCAGAAUUACUGGCGUAAAGGGUGCGUAGGUGGUUUCUUAAGUCAGAGGUGAAAGGCUACGGCUCAACCGUAGUAAGCCUUUGAAACUGGGAAACUUGAGUGCAGGAGAGGAGAGUGGAAUUCCUAGUGUAGCGGUGAAAUGCGUAGAUAUUAGAAGGAACACCAGUGGCGAAGGCGACUUGCUGGGCUAUCACUGGCGGUCAGGGACGAAAGCGUGGGGAGCGAAUAGGAUUAGAUACCCUAGUAGUCCACGCCGUAAACGAUGAGCACUAAGUGUCGGGCAACCGGUGCUGAAGUUAACACAUUAAGUGCUCCGCCUGAGUAGUACGGUCG